rnacentral:lncRNA from 1 species
CUAAAUGAAAAUACUGGCAGAUCCAUCAAAUGUCCUUGUACAGGAGGAAGCAGCCAACCAGGACGUUUCUAAGUUUAAGAAGGUGCAGCAUGAGAUGAGCUGGAGGAGGCAGAGGAGCACGUUUACAUCGCUGAGACCUAAGUCAACAAGCUCGGGGCCAAAGGUCGCAACGCCGGAGGAAAAGUACAGUCUAUAGGUCUGAUGCAUCCAAAA